GACCUUCUAAUACAUGCUAGUAGACGAAAGCCAUGGAUUGAAGAAUUCAUAGUUUAGCAAGUAUGCGAACAGGUGAGUAAACCCGGGCCCCAAACCUUUGAGCUGGCCCGGAGUCGUAUUAGGUAGAGGGCGGUGUAACGGACCGUCUUGCCGAAAAUGCGCCGCUUUUAACCCGAAGCCACACUUUCACUGAAACAAGGGGAAGACUCAGAAUGUCCUUUUGGGCGAGGCAGCAGUAGAGAAUCUUGUGCAAUAUACGAAAGUAUGACACAGAGAGCACACCCAUCUAGUCUGUCAAAUUAAGUGCCAGCAGACGCGGUUAGACUUAAGGGCUAGCCUUUAUAGGUAAAAAGGCGUAAAGGGUGUGUAGGCCCCAUUAGAACCUUAAGAGGGUAAAUGAAAUUUUUCUGUAGCGGUAGAAUGUGUAGAUAGAAAAUAGAACCCCAAAGGCUAAGGCAAUUUACCUCAGAGAUACCUUGGGGCUGAAAUACGAAAGUGUGGGGAGCAAACAGGAUUAGAGACCCUGGUAGUCCACACUGUAAACGAUGAAGAAAAUGUUAGGCAGCACCGAAAGGUAAAGUCUUCCGCCUGAGUAGUACGGUCGCAAGACUAAAAUUCAAAGAAUUUGACUGUUCACUGUUUCGGUUAGAGGAGCGUGUAGUUUAAUUCGAUAAUCCGCGAGAGACCUUACCCAAACUCGAACCGGUAGACCGGUAUUGCAUGGCCGUCGUCAGUUCGUGUGUGAAACCUAAAACGGACUCAACCCAAGGGGAUGUUUCUCGGAUGAAGUCAGGUCUUAUGAUCCUAAUGUUUGGGGAUUAUAUGCGCUACAUUUUCUUAUACAACGGGAAACCCGGACGGUGAAACCUAAAAGUAAGAGUUCGGAAGGUAGCUGGAAUACGACCGAAAGUAGGAUUUAAUAGUAAUCGGAAAGUAGAGCGUUCCGGUGAAUGGAUGCAAGUGUUAGUACAAAUCGCCCGUCACCUUUGCCUAGGACGAUAGCUCGGAAGCCGCCCAGCUGUGGCGGUUACGAAUGUCUACGAGGUUGAGCAAGUCGUAACAUAGUGAGGGAGGGGGAACCUUCCCUUG
rnacentral:rRNA from 1 species